rnacentral:rRNA from 1 species
GACGAACGCUGGCGGCGUGCUUAACACAUGCCAGUCGAACGGAAAGGCCCUGCUUUUGUGGGGUUCUCGAGUGGCGAACGGGUGAGUAACACGUGAGUAACCUGCCCUUGACUUUGGGAUAACUUCAGGAAACUGGGGCUAAUACCGGAUAGGAGCUCCUGCUGCAUGGUGGGGGUUGGAAAGUUUCGGCGGUUGGGGAUGGACUCGCGGCUUAUCAGCUUGUUGGUGGGGUAGUGGCUUACCAAGGCUUUGACGGGUAGCCGGCCUGAGAGGGUGACCGGCGACAUUGGGACUGAGAUAGGGCGCAGACUCCUACGGGAGGCAGCAGUGGGGAAUAUUGCACAAUGGGCGGAAGCCUGAUGCAGAAACGCCGCGUGCGGGAUGACGGCCUUCGGGUUGUAAACCGCUUUCGCCUGUGACGAAGCGUGAGUGACGGUAAUGGGUAAAGAAGCACCGGCUAACUACGUG